GACGAACGCUGGCGGCGUGCUUAACACAUGCAAGUCGAACGGUGAAGCGCCUUCCUUUUUGGUGGGUGUGGAUGAGUGGCGAACGGGUGAGUAACACGUGAGUAACCUGCCCCCUUCUUCUGGAUAACCGCAUGAAAGUGUGGCUAAUACGGGAUAUUCUGGGUCUGUCGCAUGAUUGGUCUGGGAAAGAUAUUGUUUCGGUGGGGGAUGGGCUCGCGGCCUAUCAGCUUGUUGGUGGGGUGAUGGCCUACCAAGGCGGUGACGGGUAGCCGGCCUGAGAGGGUGGACGGUCACACUGGGACUGAGACACGGCCAAGACUCCUACGGGAGGCAGAAGUGGGGAAUAUUGCACAAUGGGAGCAAGCCUGAUGCAGCGACGCCGCGUGAGGGAUGGAGGCCUUCGGGUUGUGAACCUCUUUCGCCAGUGAAGCAGGCCUGCCUCGUUUGUGGGUGGGUUGACGGUAGCUGGAGAAGAAGCGCCGGCUAACUACGUG
rnacentral:rRNA from 1 species